rnacentral:rRNA from 1 species
AGAGUUUGAUCAUGGCUCAGAACGUACGCUGGCGGCACGCCUAACACAUGCAAGUCGAACGAAGUAGCAAUACUUAGUGGCAGACGGGUGAGUAACAUGUAGGUAUCUGCCCUUUGGCCUGGAAUAACACGAGGAAACUUGUGCUAAUACCGGAUAAGUCUUUACGGAGAAAGCUUUAUGCACCAUUGGAUGAGCCUGCACUUGAUUAGUUUGUUGGUGGGGUAAUGGCCUACCAAGACUGUGAUCAAUAGCUGAUUUGAGAGGAUGAUCAGCCACAUUGGGACUGAGACACGGCCCAAACUCCUACGGGAGGCAGCAGUGGGGAAUCUUGCACAAUGGAGGAAACUCUGAUGCAGCGAUGCCGCGUGAGUGAAGAAGGCCUUUGGGUUGUAAAGCUCUUUCGUCGGGGAAGAAAAUGACUGUACCCGAAUAAGAAGGUCCGGCUAACUUCGUGCCAGCAGCCGCGGUAAUACGAAGGGACCUAGCGUAGUUCGGAAUUACUGGGCUUAAAGAGUUCGUAGGUGGUUGAAAAAGUUGGUGGUGAAAUCCCAGAGCUUAACUCUGGAACUGCCAUCAAAACUUUUCAGCUAGAGUAUGAUAGAGGAAAGCAGAAUUUCUAGUGUAGAGGUGAAAUUCGUAGAUAUUAGAAAGAAUACCAAUUGCGAAGGCAGCUUUCUGGAUCAUUACUGACACUGAGGAACGAAAGCAUGGGUAGCGAAGAGGAUUAGAUACCCUCGUAGUCCAUGCCGUAAACGAUGUGUGUUAGACGUUGGAAAUUUAUUUUCAGCGUCGCAGCGAAAGCGAUAAACACACCGCCUGGGGAGUACGACCGCA